rnacentral:rRNA from 1 species
UACGUAGGGUGCAAGCGUUAAUCGGAAUUACUGGGCGUAAAUCGUGCGCAGGCGGUUUUGUAAGUCUGUCGUGAAAUCCCCGGGCUCAACCUGGGAAUUGCGAUGGAGACUGCAAGGCUAGAAUCUGGCAGAGGGGGGUAGAAUUCCACGUGUAGCAGUGAAAUGCGUAGAGAUGUGGAGGAACACCGAUGGCGAAGGCAGCCCCCUGGGUCAAGAUUGACGCUCAUGCACGAAAGCGUGGGGAGCAAACAGG